rnacentral:snoRNA from 1 species
AUUCCAUGAUGAGGUCAUCUACAUAGUAACUCAUUGAAUCUUUCUCAUGCCUCGUAUAAAGACUCAUCAUUCAAUUGUUGAAAAGUGGUGAUCUCAUUCCGCAACU